CCGGGCCUCAUGCAGCUGCCGUUGAGCUCCUUGCUCUUGGCAUGCGGGGCGGCGUUGCCCAGGGACUGCAAGGAGCACGCCGAGCGCUGGUAGUCGCCCUCCAGGUCCAUCUAGGUCUGUCACCCAAGCAGAGUCUAGCCUGGAG